rnacentral:rRNA from 1 species
AGAGACAGCAGCCGCCACGGUAAUACGUAGGUGGCAAGCGUUGUCCGGAAUUAUUGGGCGUAAAGCGAGCGCAGGCGGUUAGAUAAGUCUGAAGUUAAAGGCUGUGGCUUAACCAUAGUACGCUUUGGAAACUGUUUAACUUGAGUGCAGAAGGGGAGAGUGGAAUUCCAUGUGUAGCGGUGAAAUGCGUAGAUAUAUGGAGGAACACCGGUGGCGAAAGCGGCUCUCUGGUCUGUAACUGACGCUGAGGCUCGAAAGCGUGGGGAGCAAACAGGAUUAGAGACCCCAGUAGUCCCUGUCUCUUAUACA